rnacentral:rRNA from 1 species
GGUAAUGCCGGAUGUUCCACAUGAGCGCAUGCGAGUGUGGGAAAGGCUUUUUGCGGCAUGGGAUGGGGUCGCGUCCUAUCAGCUUGUUGGUGGGGUAACGGCCUACCAAGGCGUUGACGGGUAGCCGGCCUGAGAGGGCGACCGGCCACAUUGGGACUGAGAUACGGCCCAGACUCCUACGGGAGGCAGCAGUGGGGAAUAUUGCACAAUGGGCGCAAGCCUGAUGCAGCGACGCCGCGUGCGGGAUGGAGGCCUUCGGGUUGUAAACCGCUUUUGUUCAAGGGCAAGGCACGGUCUUUGGCCGUGUUGAGUGGAUUGUUCGAAUAAGCACCGGCUAACUACGUGCCAGCAGCCGCGGUAAUACGUAGGGUGCAAGCGUUAUCCGGAUUUAUUGGGCGUAAAGGGCUCGUAGGCGGUUCGUCGCGUCCGGUGUGAAAGUCCAUCGCUUAACGGUGGAUCCGCGCCGGGUACGGGCGGGCUUGAGUGCGGUAGGGGAGACUGGAAUUCCCGGUGUAACGGUGGAAUGUGUAGAUAUCGGAAAAGAACACCA